rnacentral:lncRNA from 1 species
ACAGAAAGGGCGGCUCCCCGGAGGCAAACGCUGCAGGGCCACACAUUUGGCAUAUGGAAUCAGAGCUGUAGCGGCUGGCCUAUGCCACAACCACAGUAACGCAGGAUCCUUAACCUCCUGAGCGAGGCCUGGGAUCGAACCAUGUCCUCAUGGAUGCUAGUCAGGUUUGUUUCUAAUGAGCCACAAUGGGGACUUCCUUCCUUCCUUUUUUUUUUUUUUUUUUUUUUUUGCUUUUUAGGGCCACACCCAUGGCAUAUGGAAGUUCCCAGGCUAGGUGUUGAACUGGAGCUGCAGCUGCAGGCCUACACCACAGCCACAGCAAUUCUGGAUCUGAGCUGCAUCUUUGACCUACAACACAGCUCAUGGCAACACCAGAUCCUUAACCCACUGAGCGGGGCCCACAUCCUCAUGGCUAUUAGUCAGGUUCUUAACCUGUUGGGCCACGACUGGAACUCUGGAUUGAGCUUUUUCUAAAUCUCUGGCAGGGCCAGGACAGAAGGUAGGGGCUGGGAAGGAAAAGAAGCCAAGACCUGGAGUUCCCUAGUGGCUCAGUGGGUUAGGGAUCCAGCGUUGUCACUGCUGUGUUUCUGAUUACUGCUGUGGUGGGGGUUCGACCCCUGGCCCGGGAACUUCCACAAAAAAAGAAGCCAAGCCCUGACUGCCAACCUGUGAUCUGGGCCGAAGAGGGGCCAGACCCUGAGGGAGCAGGAUGCAGUGCCCUCCACCUGUUUAUCAUCCUGUGGGAUUAUAGCCAAAUGCUGAGCCUGAGUGCGGGAGAAUGAGAGGCUUUUGAGAACAGAGAGCUGUGAGAAAUGAGUCGAAUUUACACCACGAGAAUAAGCUUCUGGGAGAAUUGCAAGACUCUUAACCAGGCCAGCUUCACAGAAACCUCUCUGCUGUGUGCUUGGUUCAAGGCAUAAACCUUCGCUGUGCUUCAGUUAGAUGAAAAGUCCAGAGACACGUACAGAGGUGUGUCUAAGACAGCUGAAUGUUUUCCUGGAACCCUGCAGGUUUCCAAAGUUCUCCUGAUCCCAAAGAGAUGCUUUUGGUCAAUAGAACCUUGACUAAAAUCCAUUACGAUUCCAGAACCAAGUCUAAUUCUACCAGGAAAAUAAAAUGAAAUCAGACCAUCUGGUGAUGCUGUGAAAACUGGCCGUUCUGGGAAGAAGCCCCGUUAUAGUGGCGACUGUUUGGAAUCCUUGGAUGGGAAGGGACAGAAGGACAGACUGACCAGCAUGACUGUCGGCCCCUUCACCGUUGCUCAAUUCUGGACUAGACCCUACUGUGGGGCCAGAGGUCAAGGCCAGCCCGGAGGGCAGCUUUGGAGGGAGGGGAGGGGAGCUGCCUCACAACUCCUGGGAGACUGGGUUCCAGGAGAACAGGGAUUAGGGUCCCAUUGGAGCCGACUCAGCGGGGUAGUAUGGAAAUGUCACCCUUCCUGGUGACAGGGCAGGAGGGAGAGGAGAGAGGGCAGAGGGGAAUACCAAGGACAACAGGAGCCUUUCCAAGUUCAGUUCUGGCCCCGUCCCUUUACGGGGCUGUUUUCUGGGGUGCCCUCCUCCCACUUGCUGGGUCUGACUUGGAGGGACCCCUCUGGGCCCCAUUGUCUCUCCCCCCAGGGUGUGGCCAGGCUCUGGCCCAGGCGUGCACACUGCAGCGCGCCGGAGGCGUUGUGCUGAACAAGUGAUCAUCGGCGCAGUCUGCCAGCCACCCCUGAAGUCCUCUUGUCCCUCGUCCUGAAGUGGGUGUAACCUUUACUGCGGGCUCACGGCGCCAGGCCUUGGGUGAACUGUCCGUGCAGAGUCCCAGGGGUGCCAAGUGUGUCAUUUUCUUUCUGGCAACCACAUUUUGCAUCAUUAGAAGUGUCUUUGAAAUGCAGUGUUUUAAUUACACGGGCAAAUGCUGCCCCAGGGAAGGGGCCUUUUCCCAGACACUUCAGGAACUCCUUGGCAAGCUGCCCUUCCUAGGGCAGCACUGCUCGACAGUGCCUGUGCCUGUGACCCACCCAGGUGUGCUGUCCAAGCAGGAGCCUGGGCCCAAAGAGGGGCCUCUAGGGAAGAGAAAGAAACCCUGAUGCAGAGAGCCCCCUGCUCCCCAGCUCCCCAACACCCAGAGGCCCCCACUCCCACACUACCCCCAGGUCCCUUGGGUUAUAACCCAAAGAUUGGGAACCCAAAGGGUUUCUGCAGGCACAGCCCCUCCUCCCAUAUCAAAAUAUUCCCUCUGCUCCGUGCAAAACUGCACCGUCUUCCUGGAGCUUCAGGGCUGGUGUGUGUUUAUAUCUGCCAGCUGAGCCGGCAAUGGCUUUCCCAUGUGUCUCAGGCCUGGCCCCCUACACAGCUUUUCUCUUUGUUCUCAGAAACCAAACAGAGCCAGGCAUGCCAAAGCCAGGAGGGAGUUUCCGGGAAACAUCUGGGCUGGCUGGGCAGAGGUGGGCCAUGUCCCUGGCUCCCUGGAGGCCUCUGUGUGGCCCUCAGAGGCCAGCCAGCCCCCAGCCCCUGAGACCUCCACCUCCUGGGUUUUCCUGGGCUAACGCCCUGUCCUGGGAGCCGGGUAUUUAUAUUAAAAUCCAAAAUUAUAUUUGAAAUGGUAAUUAAGAUCAAAGUGACUCUGCUAUGCACCCUGGGGACACCACAGUCUGGACAGGUGACACAGCCUCUGUCUCCUUCAAGGGCACCAGCUUGUGGAGGGCUUCUCACAGGGACCAUCAGCAUCACAGUUUACCUUUGGGGUGCACUUGGAAAUUAAAGGUGUCUAAUCUUUAAGAAUGAUAAAAAACUUGGGAAGAACUCUCUUGACAGAUGACACUCAGACGUUUCCUCAGAUAAGCGUGGUAGAGCCACUCCCAGUCUUGCUUUUCCAAUCUUAUUUACCUACUGAGCCAGGUGUGGCAGAUGGCCGAGAGCUGCUGGGAGGCAGGUUUCUCUCCCUUUUGAUGCUCCCCAAAACUGUGGGAGCCAGUGAGGUUCACCCUGCCUGUAUCCUUGGGAUGCCUUUGAUGUGCCUGUCAGGGAGUAUGUCUUCUUGUGGCUCCAUCAGGAUGUCCUGUUUUAUUAAAUUGCAUAUUCCCUUUUUUUUUUUUUUUUUUUUUUUUUUUUGUGUGUGUGUGGCUGUUUAGGGCUACACCCACAGCAUAUGGAAGUUCCCCAGGCUAGGGGCUGAAUUGGAGCUACAGCUGCCAGCUAUAGCCACAGCCACACAAGAUCCUUAACCCACUGAGUGAGGCCAGGGAUCAAACCCGAUUCCUCCUGGAUACUAGUUGGCUUCGUAACCUGCUGAGGCACAACAGCAACUUCCUAUCCUUAACUGGCAUAUCCUCACUGAAACUCUGUGGUCUCUUCUCAAGGAAUUUUCCAGUAAAAAAAAGUUUUCCUGGCCAGCUUGUAAGCAGUACUAGCAUUUGGGUCAGCACUAAUCCAUGUGGCAGUUCACCACCUGUGAGACCACCUGGAAGAUUUUCAAGAUCAGGCAGAUUCACAGGCUUAAACAGGCAGGUUGGCUCGACCCAAUGAAAUGCCCUGAGACCCCAGUGGUGGGAGGGACAGGGCACCCAUGUCUCCUCCACCUCCCAUCACCACACAUGCACUUGUUACUCAAGUCAAACCACAGGGAGGGCUGUUCAUUUUUAAAGAAUAUCAAACUUUAAAAAAAAAAUCAAAUUGCAUUCUUAUAAACACCCUUCUGACCAUCCCAUUCUGAUGACAGAGCUACAUUUUGGGGACUUGUUCCAAAGGGUUAUGGUUUUAUCCGCUUCCAAGACCUGGGAGCUUCUCGGGAGGACAAAGGCUGGCUCCCCUCCUAAGACUCCCACAGUAAAGGCUCCACUUCAUUGCCAACUUUGACAAAUCAGCCUCCUCUAAGAUAAUCUUCCGGGUUUUCAUGUUGCAACACACACUAAACCGCAGAGGUUAUGACUUCUCUGUGUUUCUUCUUUUGUGAACCACCAGGCAGGGUGGCAAGCCCUGCCCACUUCCUGUUCACGUGUUGGAUCGCAACGACCUUUUACUCCAGGAAGUGAAGUCCAAAGCAAACCCUGAACAAUAGCCAGGCCUCUCCCUGAGGUGGACGGUCCAGCCUGGUUACCGAUUCAGAAUCGCCUUAUCUUCAGAACAAGCUGCAAUCACUUAUGUAACAAAUCCCAGCCACUCUUUCCAAACUCCAGACCUUAAGAGUGAAAUAUGGAUUAAUUCUACACUUAAGCAUAAAGAUAUUGAUCUU